rnacentral:tRNA from 1 species
GCAUGGGUGGUUUAGUGCUAGAAUUCUCGCUUUCCAUGCGGGAGACCCAGGUUUAAUUCCCAGCCAGUGCG